GUCUUUGUAGUAUAACAAUUACUUUGGUCUUGUAAACCAAAAAUGGAGGACAUCAUCACUCUCCCUAAGACU
rnacentral:tRNA from 1 species